GUUUUGCCAACUUUAUAAUUUUCAAGUGUUAACAGCAUUAUUGGCCAUCCACGAAGUGCAUAAGUGAUCGCCGACAUGAAAAAUUUAUAAAGGUCACACAGUGUUUUGGCGUUUGCGCAAAGCACCGAAAAAAAACGAAUGCAAUACCGCGUCAAAAAUACGAUCGCGGUACGUCCGCAGCGAGGAAGCACACAACCGGAAUACGGCUUGCGGAUGUUCAUAGGAAAUCGUUCUUCUUCCUAGCCUGCCCCGUGGCAUGGCUACCAUGGUAGCAGAGUCAUAAGAUCCGCCAAAUCUGAGCAUAAUUUCAUAUUUCCAAGCAAUAUCUCAUCUUCUUGGGAACUUGGCGUGGUGGACGUCAAUUCUUUGAAGCGGUAUUGUCGUGAUUUUGUCGUGAAGCAUUGCCCUUUACCGGGAUUUACUGACAGCAAUAUCUGGAGCCUAGUUGCAGGGUUUCGGGUACUUGUGGAUUACGGAGCGGUGAGCCACUGUGCGCGAAACCCGUGCAGUUUGGUUUGUGGAGAGAAGUGUUGCGGUGAGACACGGUUCUCGAAACUCCGUGCAGCAAGGAUUGUGGUAGAUCGAAGCAUUAUGGCAGACCAGCAAUGUCCAAACUGUGCGCGUACAGGACGUUUGUGUGUGACUUGCAUCAUGAAACAGGCGCCGAACGUACAGCAGCGCGUGUUCAUGUUGCACUUGGAAGCACUGCUGGGAAAUUACCAGGCAUUCCAGUGUCUCCUGUUGCGCGCCCACUGGGAGCAUGUCAUCGUCAACCGCGAUUACUACGAGCAGAUUCAACUCGCAGUUGACCACUUCCGCAUUACAAAGGAGGGCUGAAGUAAGGCGCAGCAUGUGCCCGCCUGGGACGAGAUGAAGGCGCAAGAGCACCAGCAUCAGGAGCUCAUGGCGCAAGCCCGACAGCAGUUGAACGCCGAACAGCGCCCUCCAGUCCAACAUGAUCAGUCAGCCGUAGCAAUCCCAGCCGCAGUAGCUCAAUAGCAGUGGAAUACCGUUGGCCGUCAGCCGUUUGGUGCACGCCACUUCCCUGAUCGCUCAGCGGUAACUAUCAUUAAUAAACCUCGUAAUGACCGCACUUUAUUAAUUAAACCAAAGCAUGCUAUUAAAAAUAAUAAGCAAUGCCUCAGAAUCAGCAUCAGCGCCGCGUCGACGUACCGGCAGCACAGCCGCGCCAGUAAAGCACUCGCAUGCCUAAUUUACCGCCUGCAGAUUGACCGCGCAGAUCGGAUUCUGUUGACGUUGGGUUUUGAUAAGCAUGACCUGCGUUAAUUGAUGAAAAGCAUGCUGACCCGUACAUUGAGCUCUCUGGACCGCUUUCUGGCGUAUUCCGGUUUGUUGGUGGAGAUGCAGUCUGAAAAGUAUAACUACCAUGAUGAUCGUCCGAAGAAGGGAUAACUCGAUAUCCGGUAUGGUUAUGUUCGCAGGAGUGGCAUGUCUUCAGCAUUAAAUCCUGAGAACUUUGAACACAGACAAUUGAUAUCGAAGCAUUGAGCCAACUGGUGUAUCAUCCGCGUAAAAGCGUGAUCCCGUACUUGUUCAAUUUUGUCAGUCCAGAUGCGAACGGUGCAAACCUGUUGUAUGCCGGUGGUGUAGCAAUAUUUACGGAUGAGAUGUUGGUCAUGAUGAAGGAAGAGCAAGAUUUCCGUAACAUGGACCGCCGUAAGCAGCAGAUAAUGGUGAAUUAUGUGCGUUUGUACUUUGGCGCAUUGUUGGGACAUCAUGGAUGUCAUAAGAAAUUGACCGACGCUCCGCAUGAAGACAGCGCUUUCUUCCACGAAGCUGUAGUCAAUUUGGGACCGACAUAAAACGUGCAAGAGAAGAUUAAUCGCAUUCGCCUCGCAUUGGAAACCGGCGCGGAUAGAGUUGCGGGAAAGCAGGUUGAGCAGUUGGUAGCGAAUCCGCAUGAUGCCGUUGAGGACGUACUCACUCGGCUGCAAAAGCUGAAGGACAAGUACGAGCCGCAAGGUGGCCAUCCGCAGCAAGUCGCACAUCACCAGCCACAACACCAGCCUGUGUUCAACUUGAACCCGCAGGGAAACGCUGCACUGUUGCAAGGUAUCGUCCCGGCAGGUGAGAAGGCCGCAAUGGACGGAGUCGAAGACUCAAAUGGUGGAUAGCGUGGCGCAUUUGGAUUUCCAUGGAGCAGAAACCAUGGAGCAUUCGGGAAAACACAAGUAGUUUGAAUUAGCAUGUACCGAAAUUCUCAGCAAUAUUAUGUUGUUAAUUAGCAAUAUUUUCUGUAAGCAAUAUUUCUUCUGAAUUCCGCAAUAGACUUCAUUUGUCAGGAUUUCUUCGAUGGACAAUAGACUGGCAGCCUUAUAGGCGCAGUCUGGAUGUGGAUUACGGACUGACACGCAGCCUCAUAGGAGGUGUCGGAAUGAAUGGACAUUUAACGGUGGAACUGGAUUUUUUAUAAUUUGAUUACAUUCCUGUUUAACCAAAGUUUAACAGAUCUCUAUGGAUAUUUCUUUAGUUUAUUGAGCUUAACUCACAAUUUCAUUUAUUUAUUUUUAUUAAACAGCGGAUCAGUGACUGGUUAGUUGUGUGAGCGACAGUGUAACAGUGGAUUUUGAAGCAGUAAAAUUCUUCA